rnacentral:rRNA from 1 species
CACCGGCGGCUCGAGUGGUGGCCACUUUUAUUGGGUCUAAAGCGUCCGUAGCCGGCUUGGCAAGUCCCCUGGGAAAUCUGGCGGCUUAACCGUCAGGCGUCCAGAGGAUACUGCCGGGCUUGGGACCGGGAGAGGUGAGAGGUACCUCAGGGGUAGGGGUGAAAUCUUGUGAUCCCUGAGGGACCACCAGUGGCGAAGGCGUCUCACUAGAACGGGUCCGACGGUCAGGGACGAAAGCUGGGGGCACGAACCGG